UGUAAGCGUAUACCAAAGUUGUUGCAGUUAAAACGCUCGUAGUCGGAAUUUGGCAGUUCCGGAUGUGUGCACGUCGUGUGCGCACUUCGCGGGAUUGCUUUUGUGGUCUUGCGUAGGAUGAGGCACUUUUAUUAGUGAACGUCCUCACGCAACCACUUUUUACUGUGAGAAAAUCAGAGUGCUCAAAGCAGGCAUUUGCCGUGAAUGUAUUAGCAUGGAAUAAUAGAAUAGGACUUGGUUCUAUUUUGUUGGUUUGUUGGGACUGAGUAAUGAUUAAGAGGGACAGUUGGGGGCAUUUGUAUUUCGGUGCUAGAGGUGAAAUUCUUAGAUUACCGAAAGACAAACUGCUGCGAAAGCGUCUGCCAAGGAUGUUUUCAUUGA
rnacentral:rRNA from 1 species